rnacentral:RNase_P_RNA from 1 species
AGGGCUGGCCGAGCAGUCGCGGGGGUUCGCCCUCGAGGAAAGUCCGGACAUCAGAGGGCAGGGUGGUCGAUAACGCCGACCCGGGGAAACCCGCGGGAAAGUGCCACAGAAACACACCGCCCACGUCCGCGACGGACACGUGCCGUCGCCGGCAGGCAAGGUUGAAAAGGUGCGGUAAGAGCGCACCGGCGCCGCGGUGACGCGGCGGCCAGGCAAACCCCACCCGAUGCAAGACCGAGCAGGGCCGACUGCAGGUUGCCCGCCGAGGUCCAGGUAGGUCGCUCAGAUGGAUGGCUGCUCACGACAGAAUCCGGCUUAUAGGCCAGCUAAGGAG